rnacentral:rRNA from 1 species
AGAGUUUGAUCAUGGCUCAGAACGAACGCUGGCGGCAUGCUUAACACAUGCAAGCCGAACGCGAGGGGUUUCGGCCCCUUGAGUGGCGCACGGGUGAGUAGCGCGUGGGAACCUGCCCAGUCGUGGGGGAUAACCGCGGGAAACUGCGGCUAAUACCGCAUACGCCGGGAAACCGGGAAAGAUUUAUCGCGAUUGGAGGGGCCCGCGUCGGAUUAGCUUGUUGGUGGGGUAACGGCCUACCAAGGCAGUGAUCCGUAGCUGGUCUGAGAGGAUGAUCAGCCACACUGGGACUGAGACACGGCCCAGACUCCUACGGGAGGCAGCAGUGGGGAAUAUUGGACAAUGGGCGAAAGCCUGAUCCAGCAAUGCCGCGUGAGUGAGGAAGGCCUUAGGGUUGUAAAGCUCUUUCGCGCGCGACGAUGAUGACGGUAGCGCGAGAAGAAGCCCCGGCUAACUUCGUGCCAGCAGCCGCGGUAAUACGAAGGGGGCGAGCGUUGUUCGGAAUUACUGGGCGUAAAGGGCGCGCAGGCGGCUCUUCAAGUCAGGCGUGAAAGCCCCGGGCUCAACCUGGGAAUGGCGCUUGGGACUGGAGGGCUAGAGUUCGGGAGAGGAGCGUGGAAUUCCCAGUGUAGAGGUGAAAUUCGUAGAUAUUGGGAAGAACACCGGUGGCGAAGGCGGCGCUCUGGACCGAGACUGACGCUGAGGCGCGAAAGCGUGGGGAGCAAACAGGAUUAGAUACCCCAGUAGUCC